UACCAGCACCCCGAGUGGUCGGGACGAUUAUUGGGCCUAAAGCAUCCGUAGCCGGUCAUGCAAGUCCUCCGUUAAAUCCACCUGCUUAACAGAUGGGCUGCGGAGGAUACUACAAGGCUAGGAGGCGGAAGAGGCAAGCGGUACUCAGUGGGUAGGGGUAAAAUCCUCUGAUCCAUUGAAGACCACCAGUGGCGAAGGCGGCUUGCCAAUACGCGCUCGACGGUGAGGGAUGAAAGCUGGGGGAGCAAACCGGAUUAGAUACCCGUGUAGUCC
rnacentral:rRNA from 2 species